CCAGAACUGAAGGCCUUUACCUCUAAUGCCUGCGUAGAGUUAGAUUGUUUUGAGCACUUAAACUAGUAUCUGUUUUCCAGGAGAUGCCUAAUAGGAGAAAUAUCUAAAGCAAGACAAAUCCAAGAUGUUUGAAUAUUUGAAAAUCAAAUCAACACUGUAAAUCAGUAAUAAUAUCCCAGCAAAAAUUUAUCUUGAUUUUCCUAUGAGCAAUUCUGCAACUGAGAGAAAAAGUAAUAAGAAAGCAUAUGGAACAAGUGUUGAAACCCAGAAGAAGAAAAAUAUUUUAAAAAUAGCAUUUAUUUCUUUUUUUUCACUAACAGAGAAUAAAAAUAAUCUCUGUAUCAUCUAUAACAAAGAGAAAUCGUGAGUAUAAAGCUUCAGUUUGUCAGAACCAGUUGGGAUGCAACAGGAUUUUCAGUUUUGCUGUCUUCCAUGCAUGAAUGGCUAGGAAACCAACAUGGCUUUGCCUGCCAAUGGAGAGAAGUGGAGAAGAAUGCUUCAAGGCAGAGAGCUUGGACUCCACAGAAAUGGCUAAAAGGGACAGACAUAAAAGAAACUCAACUUGAUUCAAGGUUUCUGAGCACUUGCUGCUUGAUUAAGCUUUCCUCUAGGUUCAUUGGCCUCUAUGUUCCGUCUGGUCCAGG
rnacentral:lncRNA from 1 species